CAGCCGCCGCGGGAAUACGAAGGGGGCUAGCGUUGCUCGGAAUCACUGGGCGUAAAGGGUGCGUAGGCGGGUCUUUAAGUCAGGGGUGAAAUCCUGGAGCUCAACUCCGGAACUGCCUUUGAUACUGAAGAUCUUGAGUUCGGGAGAGGUGAGUGGAACUGCGAGUGUAGAGGUGAAAUUCGUAGAUAUUCGCAAGAACACCAGUGGCGAAGGCGGCUCACUGGCCCGAUACUGACACUGAGAGACGAAAGCUAGGGGAGCAGAUGGGAUUAGAUACCCGUGUAGUCCCUGUCUCUUAUAA
rnacentral:rRNA from 1 species